GCUGGUUCAGGUGCAGGGGCGUAGACUGGGGCUGGUGCUGGAUUGUAAACAGGAGCUGGUACAUAUUCUGAGGGGGGAGCAUAAGCCGGAGCUUCUGGAGGAGGGGCGUAUGCUGGGUAAGGUUCGUAUUGCGGCUGUGGCAAAUAUUCUUGUGGGGUGUAGGAAGGUUGGUGGUAUACAGGUUGUUCGUAGUAUUGCUGUUCCAUAGGUCUUUUCUUCAUUUUAAAUUUUUUGGGUUUCUGAUCUGGGUGUAGUAACUUAUUCAAGUCCUUCAGACCUACAAGCCUAGAAAGCCCUUUUAUGGCUUGUGCUUGCAUUUCUUUGAUGCCUUUAGAUCCUUUGAAAAAGGCAUCGAAUCCUUUUUCCGGUUUCUUAUGAGGUGGAAGACUGUAGUCAGAACCGUACGAUGGAACAUUGUAUGAUCCAUAAGAAGAAGCGGGCGGGGCGAUAUGUACUGUUUCCUUCGUUUUUCCUCCGUCUUUUGGAUCUUUGCCGUUAAGUUCUCCGUGUUCCUUCUUAUACUCUAUAUUUUCUGUAAUCGUGAAAAACAUUUGUGGAGAAAACUUCGAUAGAAAAAUUGAAUAUUAGAUUUUUCACAUACUUGCAAUAACAGUCCAUAUAAUCCCGGCCAAAGAUGCAAUAGCUCCAGCUGAAAGGCUAGCUCCGGAAGGUAUUCCCAAUUCCCACCUUUCUGUAAGCGGGGCAAACAAACGAUUUUCUUUGCUGUUAAGACGGCCGAUCUUUUCAUCCAAUCUCGUUACUCCAGCUGGGACUUCUCGUUUUACUUUGGUUGUCUGAAUCUAAAAUAAGGAUUUAGUUUCACAAAAAUCAAGCGAAAAUUAGUUAAUCUACGUACUUCUCCUCCCAAUCUUGGUUUGAUGUUUAAGGUAACCGAACCCAAAUCUGUGUUAUCCUUAGUGAUGUUGAAGGUAAACGGUAACCAUGAACUAAAGGAAGUUGGAAUUCUUAAUGGGAACCUAAAUGGUGUUGCUUCAUUACCAAUGACGGCCAAUGCCGUCAAAACGAGAAGAAUGCGUGCAAAUUCCAUCAAGAUAUCCUAACUAUCUUGAGGUGAAAUAGCUAGCUGGACUUGUAUAAAGCUUUGGACACUUUGUAGAGCUAGGAGGUGAUGGAUCACCACUGGUGAUCGAACGCGUCCGUUAACUAUGACUGGUGUAAGAGGUUUGUGAUAAAGUCAUCUAGACGAAUCGGAACUGAAGUGACUAGCUUCGGAUGCGCGGAUUGAAAUGUUAUCGUUGCAUGCCCCUCACGUAGGCUGUAACGGUAUGCAAGGAGGACUUGAGUCGUUGUGAAUCGUCACCGUUGAAAUCUACGGAAAC